GGGAAUAACGGUUGGAAACGACCGCUAAUACCGAAUGUGGUAUGUUUAGGCAUCUAAAACAUAUUAAAGAAGGGGAUCUUCGGACCUUUCGGUUGAGGGAGAGUCUAUGGGAUAUCAGCUUGUUGGUGGGGUAAUGGCCUACCAAGGCUUUGACGUCUAGGCGGAUUGAGAGAUUGACCGCCAACACUGGGACUG
rnacentral:rRNA from 1 species